rnacentral:rRNA from 1 species
GAUGAACGCUGGCGGCGUGCUUAACACAUGCAAGUCGAACGGAAAGGCCCAAGCUUGCUUGGGUACUCGAGUGGCGAACGGGUGAGUAACACGUGGGUGAUCUGCCCUGCACUUCGGGUUAAGCCUGGGAAACUGGGUCUAAUACCGGAUAGGACCACGUCUUGGAUGUUGUGGUGGAAAGUUUUUUCGGUGUGGGAUGAGCUCGCGGCCUAUCAGCUUGUUGGUGGGGUAAUGGCCUACCAAGGCGUCGACGGGUAGCCGGCCUGAGAGGGUGUACGGCCACAUUGGGACUGAGAUACGGCCCAGACUCCUACGGGAGGCAGCAGUGGGGAAUAUUGCACAAUGGGCGCAAGCCUGAUGCAGCGACGCCGCGUGGGGGAUGACGGCCUUCGGGUUGUAAACUCCUUUCGCUAGGGACGAAGCGUUUUUGUGACGGUACCUGGAGAAGAAGCACCGGCUAACUACGUG